rnacentral:rRNA from 1 species
UUCCGGUUGAUCCUGCCGGACCUGACUGCUAUCGGAUUGAUACUAAGCCAUGCGAGUCAUUGUAGUAAUACAAGGCAGACGGCUCAGUAACGCGUAGUCAACCUAACCUAUGGACGGGAAUAACCUCGGGAAACUGGGUAUAAUGCCCGAUAGAACAUUAUGCCUGGAAUGGUUUAUGUUCCAAAUGAUUUAUCGCCGUAGGAUGGGACUGCGGCCUAUCAGUUUGUUGGUGAGGUAAUGGCCCACCGAGACUAUUACAGGUACGGGCUCUGAGAGGAGUGGCCCGGAGAUGGGUACUGAGACACGGACCCAGGCCCUAUGGGGCGCAGCAGGCGAGAAAACUUUGCAAUGUGCGAAAGCACGACAAGGUUAAUCCGAGUGGUUUCUGCUAAAGGAACCUUUUGUCGGUCCUAGAAACACCGAUGAAUAAGGGGUGGGCAAGUUCUGGUGUCAGCCGCCGCGGUAAAACCAGCACCUCAAGUGGUCAGGAUGAUUAUUGGGCCUAAAGCAUCCGUAGCCGGCUUUGUUAGUUUUCGGUUAAAUCUGUACGCUUAACGUACAGGCUGCCGGGAAUACUGCAGAGCUAGGGAGUGGGAGAGGUAGACGGUACUCGGUAGGAAGGGGUAAAAUCCUUUGAUCUAUUGAUGACCACCUGUGGCGAAGGCGGUCUACCAGAACACGUCCGACGGUGAGGGAUGAAAGCUGGGGGAGCAAACCGGAUUAGAUACCCGGGUAGUCCCAGCUGUAAACUAUGCAAACUCAGUGAUGCAUUGGCUUGUGGCCAAUGCAGUGCUGCAGGGAAGCCGUUAAGUUUGCCGCCUGGGAAGUACGUACGCAAGUAUGAAACUUAAAGGAAUUGGCGGGGGAGCACCACAAGGGGUGAAGCCUGCGGUUCCUUUCAUCAACGCCGGA